GAUGAACGCUAGCGGCGGGCUUAAUACAUGCAAGUCGAACGGUAACAGGUCUUCGGACGCUGACGAGUGGCGCACGGGUGCGUAACACGUACACAACCUACCCUAAAGAGGGGGAUAGCUCUUGGAAACGAGGAAUAAUACCCCAUAGUACUUGAUGGUCGCAUGAUUUUCAAGUUAAAGGUUUACUGCUUUAGGAUGGGUGUGCGGGCCAUUAGGUAGUUGGAGAGGUAACGGCUCACCAAGCCUACGAUGGUUAGCUGGUCUGAGAGGAUGAUCAGCCACACGGGCACUGAGACACGGGCCCGACUCCUACGGGAGGCAGCAGUAAGGAAUAUUGGACAAUGGGCGAAAGCCUGAUCCAGCCACGCCGCGUGCAGGAUGAAGGUCCUCUGGAUUGUAAACUGCUUUUGACAGAGACGAACGGUCGGGAUUUAUCUUGAAUUGACGGUAUCUGUCGAAUAAGCACCGGCUAACUACGUG
rnacentral:rRNA from 1 species